UGGGGAAUAUUGGACAAUGGGGGCAACCCUGAUCCAGCAAUGCCGCGUGUGUGAAGAAGGCCUUCGGGUUGUAAAGCACUUUAGUGUGGGAAGAAGAGUUGGAGUUUAAGAGAUGCCAACUUUGACGGUACCACAAGAAUAAGCACCGGCUAACUCUGUGCCAGCAGCCGCGGUAAUACAGAGGGUGCAAGCGUUAAUCGGAGUUACUGGGCGUAAAGGGCGCGUAGGUUGUUAUGUAAGUUAGUUGUGAAAUCCCCGGGCUUAACCUGGGAACUGCAACUGAUACUGCAAGACUAGAGUACUGUAGAGGGUAGUGGAAUUUCCGGUGUAGCGGUGAAAUGCGUAGAGAUCGGAAGGAACACCAGUGGCGAAGGCGGCUACCUGGACAGAGACUGACACUGAGGCGCGAGAGCGUGGGUAGCAAACAGG
rnacentral:rRNA from 1 species